CACGAACCGUCCAAACGUUAUUCGGAAUUAUUGGGCUUAAAGGGUGCGUAGGCGGCUCCUUAAGUCGGGUGUGAAAUCCUUCGGCUCAACCGAAGAACUGCGCCCGAUACUGGGGGGCUUGAGGGAGACAGGGGUGAGCGGAACUGAUGGUGGAGCGGUGAAAUGCGUUGAUAUCAUCAGGAACACCGGUGGCGAAAGCGGCUCACUGGGUCUCUUCUGACGCUGAGGCACGAAAGCCAGAGUAGCGAACGGG
rnacentral:rRNA from 1 species